AUUGCUCUGAUUUGCUUAUUGCACCACAUGUGUUUUUCUUUGAAACAAACUUGCUUUGGCGGUGGGCCCAGCCUGCCGCCAGAGGUCUAAACUUACAACCAAUUUUUUAUCAACUUGUCACACCAGAUUAUUACUAAUAGUCAAAACUUUCAACAACGGAUCUCUUGGUUCUCGCAUCGAUGAAGAACGCAGCGAAAUGCGAUACGUAAUAUGAAUUGCAGAUAUUCGUGAAUCAUCGAAUCUUUGAACGCACAUUGCGCCCUCUGGUAUUCCGGAGGGCAUGCCUGUUUGAGCGUCGUUUCUCCCUCAAACCGCUGGGUUUGGUGUUGAGCAAUACGACUUGGGUUUGCUUGAAAGACGGUAGUGGUAAGGCGGGAUCGCUUUGACAAUGGCUUAGGUCUAACCAAAAACAUUGCUUGCGGCGGCAACGUCUACCACGUAUAUCUUCAAACUUUGACCUCAAAUCAGGUAGGACUACCCGCUGAACUUAAGCAUAUCAAUAAGCGGAGGAA
rnacentral:rRNA from 1 species